CACCAAACCCCUUCCCUCCUCAGUGUUACACCAAACCCCUUUCCCUCCCUCCUCAGAGUUAUACCAAACCCCUUCCCUCCUCAGUGUUACACCAAACCCCUUACUUCCUCAGUGUUACACCAAACCACUCCCCUUCCCUCCUCAGAGUUACACCAAACCCCUUCGCUCCUCAGAGUUACACCAAAACCCUUCCCUCCUCAGAGUUACACCAAAACCCUUCCCUCCUCAGUGUUACACCAAACCCCUUCCCUCCUCAGAGUUACACCAAACCCCUUCCCUCCUCAGAGUUACACCAAACCCUGUCCAUCCUCAACGUUACGUCAAAACCCUUCCGUCCAUCAUCCUCUUUGACUGAAAGACUUAAAAUAUAUAUUUAUAUUUAUAUAUAUAUUUCACCUUAACUUAAGAUUUAUUUGACUGAAAGACUUAAAAGUCUGUGUUGAUGGUGCUCUCUGUGGGCUUGGGAAAUUAGGCCCUUGUGGGAAAUCUGGGAUGUGGUCAAUCUUGUGUUGCAGCUAAAGCCUGUUUUGUGAACUUCAAAAUAUUUUAUGGGGGACUUUGGUCACAUUGUAAAGAAAGUUUGGUGUUUUCUGUUUUCGGCCAGCAGAUGGCGGUGUUUCUACAUGAAAGCGGCGCAGCAACAAAACCAGAGUGCUGAGCGAGAGGACGGUGUUCUUCCCGGUCUGUCACGCACCAAGCCACGGUGACACCGGACACUGCUUCAUUACCGUCAUCACCACUCCGCGCUAAUUACCGGCCAAGGCUCCUCCCGUACAUGGUAGAAGUCUCCUAGGCACCAUGAAACACAGCAAGGAAGAGCUUGUAGCUAAGGGAAACGGGAUGCUUCCGGCUCGGAGGGGGGAAACCCACCGCUGGACUGGUCUGCUGCCUCGUCACAAGGGACCCGGCUCAGAGGGGAAACCCAACGCUGGACCGGCCGCGUCUGCUGCCUCGUCACAAGGGACCCUCUGCACUCUUUCAUGCCGCUCGUGAUUCUUUGCUUUCUUUCUCCCUCUAUCCACACAGUGAUCGGUAUCGGCCCCUCUUUCAGGGCUGGGCCCUCUGGGGGUGGGGGGUGGUGGUGGGUUGGGCUUCAGCUUUACUAAAGACUCUGUGUUUCCUUCUGCCGUCAGAUGAACAGGGGAACUGUUAGUUUUGAAUCUGUGUGAAUGUUACCCAUGACUCUUCAAAAAUGAUAUAGGUGAUACUGUUGGAUGAAAUGAUUUGUACGUUCUGUCGUGAUCUAACCGUCCUCUAUUACAUCACGGAAACACAUUUCUUUCAAUAAAGACUCAAUGAAUCUAUUUCAUUUUGUCUCAUUAGCCUAUAGGUGUGUAUAACUAGUCAAAUACAUUAUAAUAUAAUGUAUCACAUGUUCAUUGAGUGUUCUGUGGUACGCUAUUUUCUGUACUGUAGGGAACCGUGUUCCAUUUUGGAGUGCAGCCUGAGUGUUGUGCUAGCCGCUAGCCAGGUUGGGGUGAGAGGUUUUGGGCUAACACUCCCUAGCCAUGCUAACCCUUACCCCAGUAGAAACAGCACAAGCCCUCCACCGUCUGCACAUCCACCCCCAGCAAAAAGACAAAAACAGAAACAGGGCUUUGAAGAGAAGCAUAACACUCAGACCCACACUCACAUGAGUCCAUCCUCCCCCAUCUCCCCCAUCUCUCCCUCCCAUACCUCCAUCUCCCCCAUCUCUCUCUCCCUCCCAUACCUCCAUCUCCCCCAUCUCUCCCUCUCAUACCUCCAUGUUGCCCAUCUCUCUCUCCCUCCCGUACCUCCAUCUCCCCCAUCUCUCUCCCUCCCGUACCUCUAUCUUCCCCAUCCCCUCAUCCACAACACUCCGGCAAAACUAUUACUUGACGGUAAUAGUGCUCACUGUUGCCUCUAGCGGCUGGUUUUGAAGGCAUUUCCCGACGUCUUCAGGACAGCGAUAGACGUCUAAUUUCAACGCCAAUCUUGAACGACCCGGUUGGUAUGUUCAGAUGAAGACCCGGAUUCAAUGUAAUGUGACAGAGCUACACUCUAAAACAUCCCCCAACAUGCCUUCUAAAGGCCUUUCCCCGCAACGGAAAAAACAACAUUUAGGCUGAAGUGUCAAAUUCAAAUGAAAUUAAAUUAAAUUUAAAAAAGCUGUUAUAGUGGUUUUCAGUCUUGGUCAAAGAGUUUGAUCAAUCUAUGAAUGAAGACAAAAAACAACGAAAACAAAAAACACGUUGUUUGAUCUGGUAUUGGUCGAGAGUCUGUUAUCAUUCUUUUUAAAAAAUGUAAUAAAUGAAAUCAAUCAACAAAUCAAAACAUUGUUCAACUUUUCUCCGACAUAUUAACC
ensembl:lncRNA